rnacentral:lncRNA from 10 species
AGGCGGGGUUUCGGGACUAGGGUUUCUGCCGUGUAAUACCUCCUCGAGGCAGAAAAAUUCUACUUUCCAUCUGCUUGGCUGCGGAGGACCUUGGGGUGGGCUCAGCGUGGGGGCUGCAGGCAGAAAUGGGUCCAGAAGGCAAGGUCGAGGUUAGAGCCAAGCCUGUGGGCAGGGCUACGGGCAGGGGGCGGGGAGGAAUGUGGGUCCAGGCCCAGAGGAAAAGGUUGAAGUUAUAGCCAGGCCUGUGGGCGAGGCCGCAGCAGGGCGGCCAUAGGGGAAGGAGCCAAUGUGUUAUGCAUGUAGAAAAUAGACAAAAUCUCACUCUGUCACCAAGGCUGGAGUUCAGUGGAGCCAUCUCAGCUCACUGCAACCUCCACCUCCCAGGUUCAAGCGAUUCUCCUGCCUCAUCCUCCCAAGUAGCUGGAAUUACAGGUGCAUGCUGCCACACCCUGCUAAUUUUUGUAUUUUUAGUAGAGGCAGGGUUUUGCCAUGCUGGCCAGGCUGGUCUUGAACUACUUGUCAGGCCUCUGAGCCCAAGUUAAAUCAUCAUAAACCCUGUCACCUGCACGUAUACAUCCAGAUGGCCUGGAGCAACUGAAGAACCACAAAAGAAGUGAAACAGCCAGUUCCUGCCUUAACUGAUGACGUUCCACCAUUGUGAUUUGUUGCUGCCCCACCCCAACUGAUCUCUUGACCUUGUGACAUUCUUCUUCUGGACGAGUCUCAGGAGUUCCCCACCGAGCACCUUGUGACCCCCGGCCCUGCCAGCAAAAGAUAACCACCUUUAACUUUCCACUACCUACCCAAAUCCUAUAAAACUGCCCCACCCCUAUCUCCCUUUGCUGACCCCUUUCUCGGACUCAGCCCACUUGCACCCAAGUGAAUAAACAGCCUUGUUGCUAACACAAA